GAAGGGGGGGCGUGCUUAUACAUGCAAGUCGAGCGGUAAGGCUCCUACUCUGUGUUUAACUUGUUUUGAACACAGUGUUGGAGUACACGAGCGGCGGACGGCUGAGUAGCGCGUAGGAACGUACCCCAAACUGAGGGAUAAGCACCAGAAAUGGUGUCUAAUACCGCAUAUGCUCUUCGGAGUAAAGCUACGGCGGUUUGGGAACGGCCUGCGUAUGAUUAGCUUGUUGGUGAGGUAAUGGCUCACCAAGGCGACGAUCAUUAGCUGGUCUGAGAGGAUGACCAGCCAGACUGGGACUGAGAACGGCCCAGACUCCUACGGGAGGCAGCAGUAGGGAAUUUUCCACAAUGGGGGCAACCCUGAUGGAGCAACGCCGCGUGCAGGAUGGAGGCCUUCGGGUUGUAAACUGCUUUUCUGAUUGAAGAUUAUGACAGUAGGUCAGGAAUAAGGAUCGGCUAACUCCGUGCCAGCAGCCGCGGUCAUACGGAGGAUCCAAGCGUUAUCCGGAAUUACUGGGCGUAAAGAGUUGCGUAGGUGGCA
rnacentral:rRNA from 1 species